UCUCCGUAGGUGAACCUGCGGAGGGAUCAUUACACAACAAAAUAGGAAGGCCUGGCUUCACGGCCGGCUGAAAUAUUUUUUCCACCCAUGUCUUUUGCGCACUUGUUGUUUCCUGGGCGGGCUCGCCCGCCACCAGGACCAAACCAUAAACCUUUUUUUCUUAUGCAGUUUCCAUCAGCGUCAGUAAAAACAAUGUAAUUAUUACAACUUUCAACAACGGAUCUCUUGGUUCUG
rnacentral:misc_RNA from 1 species